GUUCAAGGUAUGGAGAAACCAGGUGUAAAUGAGAGAUGAAGCCGCGUUCCUGGGAGUGACUAUGAGGUGAGCAUCACGUGUGUGGUGCCCAGCGCUGGAGGCCUUGCAGGGCCAAUCACGACCUCUCGGGAUGUCCAGAGAUGCUGCUACCACCCAAGCAGCCCCUCCCAGACUGGAGUGUCCAAAAACAAGUGAACAGCAGGCAGGCUGGCAUGGAAAUGGACAGAUGGGACUUGAAGGCAGGAACCUGGGUCCAGUCCUGGUCUCACCAUCACUAGGCCCACGACCUCUGUAAGACCCUCGCCUGCUCAGUCAGUUUCAUCGUUUGUAAAUAAGAAUACUGUUGAGCAGAGAGGUGCAGGUGAGAGAUUGUCCAAAAAUGCUUUGAAAAGGAUGCUAAGUAACAGUUAGCUUUUAUUAUCCCUAUGUUUCUGCUAAUCAAACCCAGGAUAGUUUUCUACAGCAAUCUGUGAGAGGCUCCAUUAUAUACUGUAUUUGAAUAUUCCAAACUACUCCUUUGCAGGAAGGAGUAAUUCUCUCACAUGCUCCUGCCUUGAGUGCUGAGUGGAGUUACAGAAGGUGAAGGGCCACAGAGGAGAAUGGCUGCCAGGCAUCUUUCCAUACCAGCUCCUUCUUUCCAUUCCUUCUUGGGCAUGGAUUUAUAUAGCACAUUAACAAAGAGCCAGGGAGGAAAGGAAGAAUUUCUAAACCCUUUGCUAGAAAUCCUCAAGUGUUUAGCUACACUGGAGCUACCCCAGGUGCUGCUACCCCAGGUCCUCUCUGUGACCCUGCCCCGUCUCUGCUGGCUGAACACCAUAUCUGAAUGACUGUGCCCUGACUACUGAGCUCCAAGGGUCUGGAAUGCCACUUCACAUCACAGGAUAACAAGGCAGCAGCUGUCCACCCCUCUGAGCACGCCUGGACAUCUGGCUGGUGUCUUUCCAAAGGUCUCCAUCCUGAGCAGUCCUCAAGCAAACACUCGAACCUCCUGUGGUGAACUCAGGCCAAGACUAUGUGCUUGACUGUCGGUGGCAGCUGCUGAGCUCCAGAUGACACGGGUCAUGAAGAGUUGGGCUUUUAUCUCAGUUCUUCAAACAACCAGAUCAGACGUAACAGGUUUAUGGAAGACACUUCCUAGCCAUCUUGUGAGCUCCUUGAAGGAACUGUGUCUUUAUCUGUAUAGCCCCACCUAGCAGAUGCUCAAGGCAUGCUUGUGGAAUGAAUAAGGGAACAGAUCAUUUCUUCUGAGCUGUUUGCAGUCUGGCUAAGCCAAUUGAAAGAAUGCCUUCUCUUGCAAUCUACAAAUUGAAAAGCCUGUGAGACCCUCAGGACACUCAGUUCUGUCCUACUGGUGGCGGAGUGGGACUCCUUCAUGAUGUGGCACAGUUUCCUUGAGUUUUAGGAAGAAACGGCCCAUGUGGCAGAUUCAGAAACAAUGAAUCAGCACCUAAACAAACAGGAAGAUUUGGCACAAAAAAGUUUGCUUCGGGCAACCAUUGCCAGCUCUAUCCAGACCUCCAAGGAGUGAGUAUCUAUUCACUUGCCUCUGACACUGAGGAUUUCUAGAUGGAGAAGGCUGAGAAAUGCUACUCUGUUGAACAGAGCUACAAAGAACAAAUGUAAUUCCUUUCCCAUGGGGCUGCCCAUCAAGUUUUCCUAAGAUCUUACAGUUGGAAAGAGACUUAGAAGUUGUCUAAAUCGAUCUCCCUUCUGCAGCAAUCCUAACAGAUGGUCACCCAGCCUCCGCUGGAUCAGGCUCAGAGCGGAGAAGAGACCACAUGGUAAUCAUUGCCAUUGCAUCGCUGGCCAGCUCUGAUUGUUAGAAUGUUCUUUUCUUAAGCCUAGCGCCAUGCACAGGGGCCCUGGAAUGUGGCAGACCUGAGGUGGACUCUUGAACCAGCCGCUUCACCUCACCGGGGCUCAGUUUCCUGUAAUCCCAGCACUUUGGGAGGCCAAGGCAGGCGGAUCAUCUGAGGUCGGUAGUUCGAGACCAGCCUGGCCAACAUGGCGAAACGCCGUCUCUACUAAAAAUACAAAAAUUAACCGGGCUUGGAGGCAGGCACCUGUAAUCCCAGCUACUCGGGAGGCUGAGGCAGGAAAAUGCUGUAAAAUGGGGUGAAUGGUGUUAGCUAUAUCACGAGGAACAAAAAAUGGACAAAAAGCCCUUAGCAUUCUGCCUGGCAUGUUGAAGGAUUCAAUAAAUGUUCCCUAUCAUCACCAUUCCCUUCCACAGCUUCCAUAAGCUAAAAUUCUAGAGCCUGUUUGUAAUGCUUCUGCAACACCAUGCUUUACAUAUUUGAAAACAGUUAAUAUACUCUCCCCUGGCUGCACCUAAAAAGCUUUUGUUCCUAAGUUAAAUAUGCCCCCACCUUCCUUGAUAGAAUUAACCUCGAAACCUUUCAGUGUAUGUUUUUCAGAAAGCUGUUUGAAAGCAUGUUAAAAAUUCUUAGGAAUGAACUGGAGAAAUGUCAGAAGACAAAAAGUGCCACGGAGAAAACAAAGGGAGCAGAGGAAAGGGAUGGAAAAGGCUAGAAUGCAGGGGGCGGGUGCAGUUUAAAAUACAGGAGUCGAGUAGCUCACAUUCAAAGAACUGGGCUUUCUUAUGAAGUUUGAUUGGAGACCCUGGCCUGGACCAAAAUGGGGCACUCCACUCCUUCUCAGAGUUGCAGGCAGACAGAUCUGCCGUGCAGCACUGGCCACCCAGGCUGAAAAGCAGGAAGACCCGAGGAGGGGCUUGGCGAGGGCAGCCCAAGUCUGCUCACUGGGUGGCCAGAAGCACAGCAUCAUCCUGUGGCCUCCACAGAGAGGGCCAGGAAGCAGGAGGUGGGGCACCAGGAGACCCUGUCUUUACAUCAUGCUCCAACCCCUAAAAAUAUGGCCCAAUGCAUGUAUCAAGCUCUCAUCCAUCCAAUUAAUUCCUCCUUCUCUUAUAGAGAAGAGCAACCAAGGCCCGGCAUGAUGGCUCAUGCCUGUAAUCCCAGCAUUUUGGGAGGCUAAGGCAGGAAGAUCACUUGAGCCCAGGAGUUUGAGAUCAGCCUGACCUACAUAGCGAAACCCUGUCUCUACUAAAAAUACAAAAAUUAGCCAGGCGUGGUGACACAUAUCUGUAACCCCAGGUACUUGGGAGGCUGAGGCAGGAGAAUCACUUGAACCCAGGAGGCGGAGGUUGCAGUGAGCCAAGAUCAUGCCACUGCACUCCAGCCUGGGCGACAGAGGGAGACCUUGUCUCAAAAAAAAAAAAAAAAAAAAAAAGCAGCAACCAAGUGUUAGGAACUGAACUGUGUCCCUCAGAAGUUCAUAUGUUGGGCCAGGCACUGUGGCUCAUGCCUGUAAUCCCAGCACUUUGGGAGGCCAAGGUGGGUGGAUCACCUGAGGUCGGGAGUUCGAGACCAUCCUGACCAACAUGGAGAAACCCCAUCUCUACCAAAAAUACAAAAUUAGCUGGUCGUGGUGGCGCAUGUCUGUAAUCCCAGCUACUCGGGAGGCUGAGGUAGGAGAAUCGCUUGAACCCAGGACGCAGAGGUUGCAGUGAGCCGAGAUCACGCCAUUGACUCCAGCCUGGGCAACAGGAGCCAAACUCCAUCUCAAAAAAAAAAAGUUAGUAUGUUGAAGUCCUAAAUUCCAGUGUGACUGUGUUCGAAGAUAGGGACUUUAUGGAGGGACUUAAGGUUAAAUGAAGCCAUGAUGAUGGGACCCUAAUGUGAUAGAACCAGGGCAGAUCACUUGAGCCCUUGUAAGAAGAGGAAAAGACACCAGAGCUCGCUUCCCACCUGCCGCAGAAGAAAGGACCAAGCGAGGAAACCGUCAGAAGGUGAUCAUCUGCAAGCCACAGGAGAAACCAGCCCUGCCCACACCGUGACCCUGGACUUCCAGCCUCCAGAACUGUGAGAAAAUGCAUUUCUGUUGUUUAAGCCACCCAGUGUGCUAUUUUGUUACAACAGCCCAAACCAACUCAAACACAUAGCAUAGCAGUUCCUCAAAAAAGUGGCAAUGUUAGUGGAAGUUUCUUCCUUUAUGGGUUGAAGCAGAACAUGGGGAGAGAAGAGUUCCCCAUUGUAGGUAGAUUCUUAAAAUAAUUCAAUGCUGUAAUUAUAACAGAUAAGAAUGUAGGCUAAAACUAAAUUUAAACAGGAAGUUACUUAUUUACCUCUAGCUAUGAGUUCAAUAUAUUAUCUUAUUCUUGGAAAAGAAAGAAAUGAAAUAAAGCCUUGAACAGAGGAAACAGUAAAGAAAUAAAUCUGCAUGGAAGAAAAUGGAAAAAGUAAAUGAAGUUGGAAGUUGUUAAGUACCAGUAUUCUUUAAAUUAUUUACAUGAAUUCAGAUGUGUAAAUCCUCAUUGAAGGCAGGAACAUUUGUAAAGUAUUUACUGGACGCCAUUUGUAAAGUCCUUUACUGGACGUAUUCAGGGGGCUGAACUAAGUGUGGAAGCUAUUAAUAAAAUAAAAGGUAAUAUUGAUCGUGCCUUUAGAAACUUCUAUUUUAGAAUGCAAAUACUAAUAAUACCCGCUGAGAAUUUAGAGACUAUCCCUUAUCUCCAGAGGCACUAGCCGCCCUGCAAAGGUUAGGGAGCUCAACAGAAGACCAAAGGGGCUAACAGCAAGAUGGAGCAGGAGAGAACCCAUUUACCUGGCAGGUGUGAGAAGAGUCAAGGUGUUUCUAAGCACACAGCUGAAAAUGGAAAACAG
rnacentral:lncRNA from 10 species